GCCUCCGUGGCGAAAUCGGCUAGCGCGUUCAGCUGUUACCCGAAAGGUUGUUGGUUCGAGCCCACCAGGGAGGCG